UGGCUGAGCUCCCCAUCUUUCCCUCAGUCAAAGUAACAUAUCUCUCCUUUAAGCUUCCCCUGAUCUUGAUCAGGCUUGCAGAAGAUUAUUGUACCCGGAUACCACUUCAGGGAGGAACUUAAACCACCAUCACAAGGAAAUCUUCAGGCUGGCAUCUGAUGGCAGAGAUUUUCAGCGGGACCUUGAGGUCAGUCAGGGGCACUGCUGGAGAUUUCAGCUCUACAAAACAGCUGCAAAAUUCCCUUUACUGGCAAGCCCUUAGCUAGCUGGACUGUUGCAAAGAAUGAUCUGUGCAGUGAAGGGUGGUAAUGAAAGCAUGGAUGGGAAGAUAUGUCGAUUAUUCCCUCAGCAGCAUCCACUUAGAUCUUUUAUGAUGAACUUGGAAGAGUCUGCAUGUGCUUCACGAAGUUGGACUACGUUGUACACUCUAAAAGAGGAAGCCAAAAACUGAAUGAGCCUUUACCUACCCUUUCAUCUCCACCAGCAGCCUCCAAGGAGCAGCACUUGGAGGCAUGCCCUGGAUGAGGCCAGACUCUGCACAAAAAUUGUGUUGACUCUCCAGCUCAGUUAAUAUUUCUUUUCUAAUUGGGUAAAAUCCUCAGGAUGUUAGACUAAAAAAGAAGCAAGAUCACCUAAUAAAAAUGAUUAUUUUCUUAUGCUACAUAUAUUAAUAUCAAAUAGAUCUGUUAUGUAACAGACCUUUGUUGUCAGAAUGGGUUUGCACACAGCUUUAGAAGAACAGCCUGCAGUACACAGGUGAAGGUAGCAUCCUGUUGUUGAGAUAAAGGGAUCCAAGAGCAGGAGGAAUGAAUAAAAGCACAGCCCAGACAUGGGAAGACAGUUACACCACAGGGAAUUUCUACAUAAAGAAAGACUGUGAGAUCAUAGAAUCAUUAAGGCUGGAAAAGAUCUCUAAGAUCAUCUAGUAUUUCCAACCUUAGCGAUUGUAUGAUUCUAUGAUUCUAGUACAACCAUCCACCUACCACCAAUAUUGCCCACUAAACCAUGUCACCAAGUACAGCUUCUACCCUUUCCUUAAGCACUUCCAGGGAUGGUAACUCCACCCCCUCCCUGGGCAGCCAGUGCCAGUGCCUCACUGCUCUUUCUGAGCGGAAAUGUUUCCUAAUACCCAAUUUGCAAUGUGAGGCCAUUUCCUCUUGUCCUGUCACUGUUACCUGGGAGAAAAGGCUGACCACCACCUCACCACAGCCUCCUUUUAGGUCAUUGUAGAGAGUGAUAAGGUCUUCCCUGAGCCUCCUCCUCUCCAGGCUGAACCACCGCAGUUGCCUCAGCCACUCCCCGUAAGACUUGUGCUCCAGAACCCUCACAGAUUCAUCAACCUUCUCUGGACAUACUCCAGAGCCUCAAAACUGAAUACAGUACUCAAGGUGUAGCCUCACCAGAUCUGACUGGAAAACUUUGCAAUUAUCUGAUUUUUAACAUAUGCCAAUUUCAUUUUCAAAAAACAAAAAAAGAAAUCCUCAAUAGCAAUGAAUAUGGAUUUUAAAAAAGAUGAAAAAAAAUUGAUUUAUUACAGCCAAGAUUUCUUUCUUAAAUUUCUUGUGCUGACUGUUGUGGACCACAGACAGUAGACAAGGCUCUGUGUCUUCAUUCCUCUUAGCUCCUGGGAAGAAAAAGGUAAGCCAUUAAAGAAUGAUCCAUUAAAAAUGAGAAGUAAAGACAUGGUUUUUGAGAAAAUUUGUUACUUUUAAAUGGAAAAGUACUUUCAAAAUGGCAAUCUAUCAAUCAAAAAGAUCUUAAAAUACCUAAAUGUUCUUAUGUAGAAGACUGCUAACAUAUUAUAAAACCUAGAUUAUGUACUUGUGAUACAAUUAUAUACACAGAAGAGAUGCAAUUAUUUUCUUGUUCAUUUUCUUAUUCUUAAGUGAUGUUCCCUACUUAUGAAAGAAUACUGUUUCUAUUUCUGUUUUAUUAAAUUUGCCAC
ensembl:lncRNA